CAAUCCAAGUAAGAAAAUUGACCCAGAUUAUUGGAGAUUUUUUAUUCAUGCAGAGUCUUAUCGAGAUUUUGCCAGAAUAAUUAGCUCUGAUCAUCCGGAAAAAUUUGCUAUUUUGAGGAUGAAGAUAUAGUCCAUGCCCCACGAAAGUCGGGG
rnacentral:autocatalytically_spliced_intron from 1 species